GAUGAACGCUGGCGGCGUGCCUAAUACAUGCCAGUCGAGCGAACAGACGCGGUGCUUGCUCCUCUGACGUUAGCGGCGGACGGGUGAGUAACACGUGGAUAACCUACCUAUAAGACUGGGAUAACUUCGGGAAACCGGAGCUAAUACCGGAUAAUAUAUCGAACCGCAUGGUUCAAUGGUGAAAGACGGUUUUGCUGUCACUUAUAGAUUGAUCCGCGCCGCAUUAGCUAGUUGGUAAGGUAACGGCUUACCAAGGCCACGAUGCGUAGCCGACCUGAGAGGGUGAUCGGCCACACUGGAACUGAGACACGGUCCAGACUCCUACGGGAGGCAGCAGUAGGGAAUCUUCCGCAAUGGGCGAAAGCCUGACGGAGCAACGCCGCGUGAGUGAUGAAGGUCUUCGGAUCGUAAAACUCUGUUAUUAGGGAAGAACAAGUGUGUAAGUAACUAUGCACGUCUUGACGGUACCUAAUCAGAAAGCCACGGCUAACUACGUG
rnacentral:rRNA from 1 species